rnacentral:rRNA from 1 species
GACUAACGUUGGCGGCGUGCAUAAUACAUGCAAGUCACACGGGCCACGCAAGUGGCUAGUGGCGAACGGGUGAGUAACACGUGGAUGAUCUACCCUUAAGAUCGGGAUAACUAGCCGAAAGGUUAGCUAAUACCGGGUAUGACCACGUCCAGUAUCGUCUGGAUGGGGUAAGAGCCGGGGACCGCAAGGCCUAGCGCUUAAGGAUGAGUCCGCGGCUGAUUAGCUAGUUGGCGGGGUAAUGGCCCACCAAGGCGACGAUCAGUAGCCGGCCUGAGAGGGUGACCGGCCACACUGGGACUGAGACACGGCCCAGACUCCUACGGGAGGCAGCAGUAGGGAAUUUUCCACAAUGGGCGAAAGCCUGAUGGAG